GGGAACAGGAAGUUAUAAAGGAAACAGGAAGUUGAGGGUUGUUUCUUUAAUCUUCAAGGCUGCCCACAGCAGGCAGCAACAGCAAUGUGCAGCUCCUGCAAUUGAAAGACAAUGUUUCGAUUUAGUUUGGACCAACAAAGACAAUCCUCAUAGCAAAGCAUGCACAGACAAAGUUACUGUGACACUGAAGAUGCAGAGGAUUAAAAUACCUCAUUCAGUACAGCUGCAAAUAGACGACAGAUACGGUAGCUACAUGCUAAUGCUAAGCUACAUGCUAAUGCUAAGCCACAUGUUAAGGCUAAACCACAUGGUGUGCUACAUCAGAUGCAAUGCAUAACAAGGCUAAUGCUAAGCUACAUGCUAAUGCUAACAUACAUGCUAAGCCACAUGGUAUGCUACAUCAGAUGCAAUGCAUAACAAGGCUAAUGCUAAGCUACAUGCUAACGCUGCACCUUAAGUUCAGUAAAGGAACUUACAUUGCU